rnacentral:tRNA from 1 species
GUGGUGGCUCAGAGGUAGAGUGCUUGGCUGGCACGUAUGAGGCCCUGAGUUCAAUUCUCAGCACCACA